UACAGAGGUCCUAAGCGUUGUUCGGAUUCACUGGGCGUAAAGGGUGCGGAGGUGGCAGGGUAAGUUUGAUGUGAAAUCUCCGGGCUUAACCCGGAAACUGCAUUGAAUACUAUCCUGCUCGAGGUUUGGAGGGGGGACUGGAAUUCUCGGUGUAGCAGUGAAAUGCGUAGAUAUCGAGAGGAACACCAGUGGCGAAGGCGAGUCCCUGGACAACACCUGACACUGAGGCACGAAAGCUAGGGGAGCAAACGGG
rnacentral:rRNA from 1 species